AUGAAUAGUAAUAGGGCCCCUGGUCCUUACAACAUUCCAGCGGAGUUUUAUCAACACCGUUGGGAGAUUGUGAAGGGUGAUAUUAUGAGACUUUUUGAGGCCUUGUAUGAGGGUACUCUCGAUGUUCAAAGGUUAAACUAUGGGAUCAUUACUUUGAUUCCUAAUAUCAAUGGUGCGAACAAAAUCCAACAGUUUAGACCUAUUUGCUUGCUUAGGUGCCCAUAUAAGUUGAUCACAAAGGUGUUAGACAACAGAGCAGGCCCUUAUGCUGACAUCCUAUUUAGCAAACACCAAAAUGCCUUUAUUAAACACAGGAGUAUCAUGGAUGGGGUUCUUACAUUGCAUGAAAUUUUGCACCAUACGCAUGUUAAAAAGAGAGUCGGCAUCAUUAUCAAGCUUGAUUUUGAAAAAGCUUACGAUAAGGUAAAUUGGGACUUGUUGCUUAAGUGUCUGGAGAUCAGAGGCUUUGGCAAGACUUGGUGCAGCUGGAUGGAGAAAAUCCUCCACAAUGGCACGGUUAGUGUGAAGUUAAAUAAUACCUCGGGGCCUUACUUCUAG
rnacentral:rRNA from 1 species